UUCAAAUCUCUUCUCCCUUUCGAGUUUAUGAAAGGAAAACAUGAGUGAGUUAACGAUAUUUCUAAAACGUUCCGACGACAACUCUAACGUGCUUAAAAGACAUGGAAGUUCUCCAUUUCCCCAGUGGGAGGCUGGAAACCUUUGCCAUCGUAGCCUGAAUUCUCUCUCCUGCAGCUCUCACUGAACUCUGCUGAGAAACCCAAACUUUGAGUCUAUAUGAGGAAAUUCUGGAUUUUAAACACCUACUUGUUCUCCCUUGUAACCGCUCUGUGAGAUUGUCUAAUUUGGCACUCUAGGAGAAAAGCAAAUGAUUUCUUUCAGCAAAGCUCUGUCCAGCCUCAUGAAUUAAUGAAAUCUACUGACUGAACCGUGGUCGAUACUGGGCAUCAAGAUUUUGGGAAUACAUAAUCCACACUGGUCAGGAUCUCACUUCUGGCAAGGUGGAAGCAUCAGGUUCCCCAAGCAACCCCCCAGAUGAGUGUGGAAACCAACUGAGUGUGCUAAAGAGUAUGCAGAAAAGUGUCCUUCAAAAACAUGCUGACAAGCACUCCAAGAAGCAAGCCAUACUCAACGGCCAAAACAGUGCAAUCUGGAACAAGGUGCAGGGAACACCUUGGCAGGCUUGACACCUGGGUACUCGUCAGGGAUGUACUCUAUGGACCCACCUCGGACUCACUGAAGCUAAUUCUGCAUUUUUGCAAGAUCCCCAGGUUCUCAAACUAGUGAGUCAAGAGACAUUGAAGUUUGAGGAGCACCCGAGGUGCUUGCAGAACCCCAAAUGGCAGAUUCAGAAGUGUCCACCAGAGGGCAGAAUAGCAGCAGGCAUGGAGCCACAGUCAGCCAUGCCAGUCCCCACUCCUCCGUUAGCGGACGUUAGGAAUUUGGGGUGAUUGCUCAGGGACUGUGGAAGUAGUGAAUGGAGGGAACCUUGGAGGAACCUCCUAAUCAGACAGUGGCAGGCUGUGGGCUGUUCUGCCAUGUGUCCGAGAGGGGUGAUUACACACACUCGCUUGCAGUCAAAGAAGUUGAGUGCCAGAGAGGGAAAGAGACUCAGUAGCCCAGUGCUCAGCAAUGGCAGGUGGUGUUUGGAGCCUGGGCUGGAAGGCAGCCUGGCCCCCGAGAGCACCCCCAAGGGGCAGGGCAGCGCAGGUCCGCCCGCCCCCGACUCUGCAGCCCUGAGGGACCUGCCUCCCUUCAGCUGCUCUUUGAACAGCUCUCCUGUCUUCUCUGGCCGUGCCAGAAGCAGCUGUUGUAAGAAUUCGAUUUGGAUUGUUUAUAGCCUCUCCACAACACUUGGAGUCCCAGGCUUAACCCCUCAGAGAACAAAGCGUCGGUCUGAAUUGGGAACAAACAGACGAGGCCUGCUCCCCAGCGGGACCCUGGCGUCCUGGUGGUCCCUGAAUCUGCAGCCAGCGCCAGCUGAGAGCCCUGACUCCUCAGUGAAUUUUCAUCCCCACUUGUUCGGUUUUGCUCUUUCAUCUAUAAGAACAAAGAUCCACUUGAGCAACCGCAAGGAAAUCUUUCCUCUUUUUUUUUUUUUUUUCUAAGUAACAAUACAUUUGGGUUGAUUAGAGCAAUCAUAUAAAAUUUGAGAACAGAAAUCUCAAUAAAGAUCCUGAAUCUCCAGCGUUGGGUGGGCUGAGAGUCACAGGAGAAUGAACCCCACCAUGGUGGGGGGGUCCUAUUCGUCUCAUCCUUGGUGCAUCUUCUCUGACACUUCCGGGAACUCAGGUCAAGUCCAGCAUUCUCUCCCUCCAAGUGUGCUGGGGCAGUUGGGUGAGAAUCUUUGCCUUAAUGCACAAUGGGGGAAUAGCCCUGACCAUGUGCUCACCUGGGUGCAGUUCUAGGAGCAACGCAGUAGAGUUCAGCAUUUAGCUUUGGCUGUGAGAACAAACAGGUUCACUUGGACCAGCUUUCUUAUAGAUGACACUUAGAAAAACUAGACAGAGGUGCAAAUGGGGUGGGAAACAUUGCAGAGGUAACAGGACAAUGAGGAGGCGUGGGGUCACGGUUCUAGGAAAAGCAGGGAUUGGGGAAGUGAGGACAGCCCAGAGGCUGUGUUCCAAAGGGGGGCUUUGAAGCCUCUCGAGGCACUGCCGGCAGCCCCUGGAGAUGGGCAACAGGUUCUGGGGUACAAAGUCCACUGUGAGAGCCCCCCAACUAAACUUCUUAUAUUUGGAGUGGGGUCGCAAAGGGCGGUACGAUAGGUCAAGGGCAGGUAGGAGGAAGCAGGUGUCAGCCUGGAUGUUCCCAUAGCCCUGAGGUCGGGCUGAGCUGGUCCCAGACCUUCAAGGCUCCCAAUACCUGAGAGGCAAACACUAACAUCACCCCAGUAUCAAGACAACUUCUUUUUUUUUUCUUAAAGAUGUAUUUAUUUAUUUGAAAGGCAGAGUUAGAGAGAGGGUUAGGCAGAGAGAGAGAGAGAGAGAGAGAGAGAGAGGUCUUCCAUCUGCUGGUUCACACCUCAAAUGGCUGCAACGGCCAAGGCUGGGCCAGGCAGCAGUCAGGAGACAGGAGCUUGAUCGAGUCUUCCACGCAGGUGCAGGGGCCCAAGCCCUUGGGCCAUAUUCUGCUGCUUUCCCAGGCUCAUGAGCAGAGAACUGGAUUGGAAGUGGAGCAGCCAGGAUGGGAACUGGUGCCCAUAUGAGAUGCCAGUGUUGCUGCUACUCCAUAGUGCUGGCCCUGAUGCAAUUUCUAUAAAUAAUUUUGGAAAUAUAACUGCUGGCAUACAUUGUAAAAAUAAGGCACACAAGGUGAUAACACGAUAUUAAUGAACACCAAAAAAAAAAACCACCACCACCACCACCAACAGAAAAAUCAAGCAUCCUCCUUCUUGGCCCAGGCGGGAGCCUAGAGGACUCCUGCUGACACUGCUGACAGAAGCAGCCCACGUAUUGACGCUCACAGUGCCACAGCCUGAAAGUCCUGCUGAUACUUUUGUAAACGUGGAGCAGCCGGCGGGCCCCUGGGGCACUGCAACCUUCAGCUUCCCCUUGGCUUCAUCCUCCGCUGCCUGACCCGAGGCACCCGCGCUCCUGAGCCUGUUUGCAGAACCUGCGGUCCUGCUGUGAGCGCUUCUUUCUGGGAAGCUUAACUCUCUCCCCAGACUUCUAGGCGUUCUUAAAAGCAUUUGUUCUGGCCCAGUACAAAACCUGGUUGCAACUUUGAGGGUGCUGGGCAAGUUGGCUCUGUUUGCCCUGUAACCAAAAUACUCGUGAGGGACCGGCGUGUGGUGCAGCGGGUUAAGCCGACUCCUGCUCUGCUGCCACCCCCUAUCGGAGCUCCAGUUCCAGUCUCAGCUGCUUCGCUUCUGAUCCAGCUCCCUGCUAGUGUCCUUGGGAAGGCAGCAGAGGAGGGCUCAGGUAUUUGGGCCCCUGCCGCCCACAUGGGAGGCCUGGAUGGGGUUUCCAGGCUCCUGGCUUCAGCCUGGCCCACCCUGGCCAUUGCGGCCUUUUCAGAAGUUAACCAGUGGCUGGAUCUUUCUCCCUGUCCUUCCCCACCUGCCUGUAACUCUGCCUUUCAAAUAAAUAGAUCACUCUUAAAAAGCAAAUACGCAUGACUUCUCUGAUUCCCAGCCCCAAGAGCC